rnacentral:rRNA from 4 species
ACGGGUGAGUAACACGUGGGAACGUGCCCUUUGGUUCGGAACAACUCAGGGAAACUUGAUCUAAUACCGGAUAAGCCCUUCGGGGGAAAGAUUUAUCGCCAUUGGAGCGGCCCGCGUAGGAUUAGCUAGUUGGUGGGGUAAAGGCCCACCAAGGCUACGAUCCUUAGCUGGUCUGAGAGGAUGAUCAGCCACAUUGGGACUGAGACACGGCCCAAACUCCUACGGGAGGCAGCAGUGGGGAAUCUUGCGCAAUGGGCGAAAGCCUGACGCAGCCAUGCCGCGUGAAUGAUGAAGGUCUUAGGAUUGUAAAAUUCUUUCACCGGGGACGAUAAUGACGGUACCCGGAGAAGAAGCCCCGGCUAACUUCGUGCCAGCAGCCGCGGUAAUACGAAGGGGGCUAGCGUUGCUCGGAAUUACUGGGCGUAAAGGGAGCGUAGGCGGAUAGUUUAGUCAGAGGUGAAAGCCCAGGGCUCAACCUUGGAAUUGCCUUUGAUACUGGCUAUCUUGAGUACGGAAGAGGUAUGUGGAACUCCGAGUGUAGAGGUGAAAUUCGUAGA